UGUGGGUUGCUUGCUCAGAAUUAUCAGGGUGAGCAUGUCUGAACGCACCAAGGAGAACAGCGUAGCAAUCUUAUACACAAUCUGUCUAAAUGAUCGAAACAUGUGGAAGGAGGUGUGGAAUGAGGAAACUGCCAACCAUACACUUUCUAUACUUGCUGAUAAUGGUACUUCAAGAGCCAGGAGAAAGGCUGAUGGUAUUCUCGAUAGGUUGUUAAAACAAAUCCUUAUUCCAGAGACAUGAUCCAUGCUUCCUGUACAUACUUUCAUCCUUCACUCUGCCAUGCAUACACACUAAUACUAGCUCAGUUACCUGUAAAAAGCUCACAUAUCUGUAUAUGUUACCUACUUUCGUACCAGGCAAGUUUUGGUCCAUCUAAGGCUAAAUAGAUAAGCAAAGGGCAUUGAAUUUUACCUCUGGUUUCAUGAAUGAAUGUACAGGAAGCAUGGAUCAUGU
rnacentral:misc_RNA from 1 species